CCAGCUCGCUCCGGUCCCCUCGGCCUCUUGGCUUCUGGAGCCAGCGCUGCGGCACCUGGGGCUUCGGAACACGUGGGGAGAGUCGCCGGAGGCUGGAGACUCUGUACGGCUAGUGAAAUGGAGAGUGAAUUUGUGCUGGUUUUAGAAGAUGAAAACCUUCAAGAGACUGGAGAGAAAUCGUGUUUCAAUUUGUUAGCACAAAUAGAAAACUAAGCAUCAACUUCUCUACCUGCUCUUCUGGAAAGGCCUAGACUGGUUCCUGCUACCGCGGGAAGUCUGUAAGAAGCUUCCUGCCAGGGACUGAAGAUUGCCUUGGAAUCAAGCUCUCCCUUAGGGGAGACCUGGUGCCUGUUCCGCUCACCUUACUUACAGAUCACCUGGCUCCUGCUGCCCUGCCUCAGCUUUUGACCACCUGCCUUGCCUUCCAGCUCUGAGAGCCUCCAGUUCAUCUCUGCCUUCCUUCUCAUUCAUCAGCUGUUUGCUCUAAUUGCCCACAUAGUCACUGAUAUAUUUUUUUUCCUUGUGUCUUGGUUUUGAACUGAUGGCAACAUCAAGACCUUUGACUCCUUUGUGUGGUUGAAAUGUGAGCCAUGUAAUAUAGUUACUUUUGAUCUCUUCAUCUGGUUCCCCUUCAUCAGAAUUUGCUUUGCGUAUUAUUCUCUUUGAUUGUGAGCCAGGCCUUGUGUAAUCAUUUCUUUUGCACAAGGACCCUAUUCCUACUCCCUCAGGAUGGUAAAAGCUGAAGUGAAGAAAUGACCAAAUCCAGUUCAGCUGCUAUGCUUUUUAAGCAAGGCUUAUCUGAAUGAAUCUAACAGUAGCAUUUAAUAAAGUAUUCUUGAUUGU
rnacentral:lncRNA from 1 species